AUGUGGUGUGUCUCUGGGGAAUGCAUGUGAGAAGACACAGACCAGCAAGAAUUGUGACUCCACCUUUCUCAUUCCCUGUGGAGACCUGUGUCAGUCAGACGUGGUUAUUGUUGGCCACUCAGUGCCACUCCGUGGGAAAGCAGUGCUCCGGUACCCUCGACAUGCUCAGUGAGAAGGUGUUGGUUCCCACAGUGUUUUCAAAGAAGAGCUUCCCUUUGUUUGCUUGGUUGUGCUCUGAUGCACAGGUAUUUAUCUAAAUGGGGUCUGCUGUAUUUGUACCAGCCCAGGUGGCAGCUGGGGGAGCACAGCUCAUCAUGCUGGCUGUUGGUAGCUGGCUGAAAGUGAAAAUGAAGCACCAAAGCACCCCAGAAGCCCUGGUGCAUCCUGCCUAUCUCCUCCUGUGGCCUCUCUACCAUGGAAGCCUGCUCUCUGCCUCCCUCCUGGCACAGGCAGAUGCACCUGAGACCCACGCUGUCCUCAGCAUCCCUUUUGCAGUCUGGCUCCCAUUCUGCUCUGUUGCCUUGGCAGCAAUGGGUUCUCACCUGCUAAGAAAAAGAAGUUGUCCCAAUAUGCCUCUCACAGAAUGAGUGAGAAGUGGAUUUGUUAUCUCGUAUUGGAAUGCUGAGUAGAGCUAGUAAGAGAAAAGUCUCUGUGCUGAGAUCAUGCAAUAAGCCUGUGAGGGAGUCAGCAGCCAAAGGCUCUGCAUCGGUGCAGCACCUCAAUGGCCUUUCAGCAGCUUUCAGUGUUUUGAGGUGGAUGCUAACUGCCAACAGAGUGAUUCCACAGGGCUCUGCAUCCUGAAGAAAGAUAUUGGAAGUGAUGACACCAAGGUCAAGUAACUAUGUAAGCAGUAAAAUUUAUUAGACCCUUACCAUGUCUCUGCCCUUUGGGGACCCUUUGACAUUUGCCAAUACGUCCAAGUUCAUCCCAGAACCUUUACCCUGAGGAAGGUGAGCAAUUUUUUUUAUUCCUCCCUUAACUAAAUGCCAAUUUUUACAAAGUAGGUAGAAAUAUCAGGUCUCUCAAAAUUCCCUUUUCUCUGCUGCUGGGCUCAGAAACUGGGAGGGUGUGGAGCUACUAGGCUCCAAUAGUUGCAUGAACAUUGUUCUGUCAAGAUACCAAACUAAGAAAUAUUUUCAUGGAGCUCUGAAAAUAAGCAAGCAAAUAGGAAGCAAGGGAAGACACUGUUGAGAAAGGUCAAGUACAGCAGAAAGUUCUGCUGUUACAGCCACAUCUUCACCCUGCUCUUCACCCUGUGAAGAGGGUUUGUGCUUUGGGUGAAGCUUUGGUCUGCCUAAAUACCUGUCU